rnacentral:rRNA from 1 species
UACGGAGGGUGCAAGCGUUAAUCGGAAUUACUGGGCGUAAAGCGCGCGUAGGCGGCUUGGUAAGUCGGAUGUGAAAGCCCUGGGCUCAACCUGGGAACUGCAUUCGAUACUGUCAAGCUAGAGUGUGGGAGAGGGUAGUGGAAUUCCCGGUGUAGCGGUGAAAUGCGUAGAUAUCUGGAGGAACACCGGAGGCGAAGGCGGAUCACUGGACUGCCACUGACGCUGAGGCGCGAAAGCUAGGGGAGCAAACAGG